rnacentral:rRNA from 1 species
CAAAGGCUUGGUCCUGACUUUACUAUCAACUCUAGCUAAACUUACACAUGCAAGUAUCCGCAUCCCCGUGAGAAUGCCCUACAGUUCCCUGCCCGGGAACAAGGAGCUGGUAUCAGGCACACUUCGACUAGCCCAUGACACCUUGCUUAGCCACACCCCCAAGGGAACUCAGCAGUGAUAGACAUUAAGCCAUAAGUGAAAACUUGACUUAGUCAAAGCUAAGAGGGCCGGUAAAACUCGUGCCAGCCACCGCGGUUAUACGAGAGGCCCAAGUUGAUAGACAUCGGCGUAAAGCGUGGUUAAGAUUAAAGACAAUACUAAAGCCGAACACCUUCAGAGCUGUUAUACGCAUCCGAAGGUAAGAAGUUCAACCACGAAAGUGGCUUAUAGUAC